AGGUAAACACCCAGAGCCCAGUUUGUCCAAGGGACCCCAGGGGACUCUUUCCUCUUCAAAGCCUGUUCUCUGUCCCUCUGUUCAGGACUGAGGAGGACAUCAGAAAGAACUCAGAAUCCGCACUCUUUCUGCCAUCUUCCCUCGCCGCCACCAUGGUGCGAAUGAAUGUUCUGGCGGAUGCUCUCAGGAGCAUCAACAACGCUGAGAAGAGAGGCAAACGCCAGGUCCUCAUCAGGCCAUGUUCUAAAGUCAUCGUUCGGUUCUUAACCGUGAUGGUGAAGCACGGGUACAUUGGUGAAUUCGAGAUCAUUGAUGAUCACAGAGCUGGGAAGAUUGUUGUGAACCUCACAGGAAGGUUGAACAAGUGUGGCGUUAUAAGCCCUAGAUUUGAUGUUCAACUCAAAGACCUAGAGAAAUGGCAGAACAACCUGCUCCCUUCACGGCAGUUUGGCUUCAUUGUGCUGACAACCUAGGCUGGCAUCAUGAACCAUGAAGAGGCAAGACGAAAACAUACAGGAGGGAAAAUCCUGGGAUUCCUUUUUAAAAUGUAAAGCAUAAAUAAAAAGCCUUCGUGGACUGUGAAAAAAAAAAAAAAAAGAACUCAGAAUCCUUGAUCUACACUCCUCUUCUGCAUCAUCUUUUCAGCUCCUAAAAAGCCAUAGUUUGAUUCUCAUGCUCUGCCACAUUAGUAACUUCC